GAGACCCUGAGAUCCUGGUGUGACCAAGCUCCUGUUAUCCUGGGAUCCUGGAAUCCUAAGAUCCAUGUUACAGCUCCAGGAAGUGGUGUCUCCUCUGAGGACCGUGGAGCUGUCUGGUCUGUUCAAAACCAAGCUCAAAGAACACUGCACAGGAAGGGCAGAAAGAACUGGGAGCCCACGACAAGGAGAACAGCUGUGAAAAGCCAUCUUCUACGAAGUCAAGCCACUGCAAGCAUGAGCCCACAUUAGCCGCAGUUACUAGCAUGCGGCCAUACAAGAACUGCCCUGUCAGCAGGUCAUUUAUGGAUGGAGGAGUCGCUCGUGAGGCCCUACUGUUGCAUUAUUGGCUACUGGCAGAUGCUGAGCAGUUGUAGACCUACAGGAAGUAGCCGAUUUCCUCUAAUGAAAAGAAGUAAUGGGUGCCUUUUCAACCCUGUGCUCUACCCGAUUCUGAUUUCUUAUCAGCUGAACUAGUGGUCACUAAGAUGAACUUGAAAGUAAAGUAUUCCAGAUCCAUGCACCUCUCAGCCUUCACCCUCAGAAGCUUCUGUGUGCAAGAGAUGGUGGUUAACCCAGUGAUCGGUAACUGGCCAAGGAGAUGAGAAGAGUGGAUUACAGAAUUUCAGCCCUACAGGGAAGAUAUGUACUGCACCCUGUUUCCCAUGGCUCAGGGAUCAUUGUAGAGGAGGGGGAAGAAAGAGUGUAAUCACUGGAGGAAGUGGAAAACUGAAAGGAAGUGUUUGCUUGACACAGCAGGGCAGCUGCACUUCGGAAUUUACAGUGGGUUUCAGUAGCAGCUUACAAAACCUGUGCAAGCCCAUGCCAGACCAAAUCCUAGCAAGGAGAGAAAACUUAGGCACACACCACCACACCAGAUCACUAAGCUACUGGCAAUUAUUAGCUGCUGGGAGGAGAAAUCAUUUUUUCCCUAAAAGUGUAGCCUCGAGUGAACUGACCACUCUCCAAUGCAAGGCCGUACGUCCAAGAAUAUUUGGGCAGCACAAAUUGGUCUUGAAAAAUUCACAAAAAUGAAAGUCAAAAUGGUGGGUAGGUAGAGAGUGGGGAAAUGAUCCGAGAAGUGUUGAGGGAAAAGAGUGAAUAUGAUCAAAACUCUAAAAAAAAGAGAAAAAAAACUAAGAAAAAAUAGUAAAAUAAAUUUAAAACAAAAGAAUAAAAGAAAGAGGUUCAAUCUUGAAAGAUUAAUUUUAAGUGUAUUUGGAAUCAUUUUUAACUCAAUGACAUGGCUCAUCAAUAUGUACUGUGCAAAAUGUAAUAGAAAUGUUGCUAACAUGUAAUUUUCAGAUUUUUAUUCUUUUCCUAAACAUACACUCAUUCAUGACUAUUAGAAGCAAUACAAAGGAUUCGAACAAUUUUAACAGCAACAUUUCUUAAUUUUAUUAUGGUACAGUUCUGACAUGCUAAAUUUCAAAUAGGUAAUUCUUAAAAGGCCAAGGAUCGGUCCCAAAAAUAACAAAGUUGAAGCUGUAGCACCUAAGAAUAAUUAAACACAUACCACCCAUGUUUAAUGGCUGGAAAAAGAAAACCAAUGGUAUUUUCUAUGAUAAACCUAGAUGGAAAGAGAUUAGUGACACCGAGAAUUGGAGGUGCUGAUUUGCAGCUAAACUGUUUCACAUUUCAUUUAAGCCUGCACUUUCUCAGCAUGCAAACUGGACUAAUCCAUUUUUCCAAUAUCCUUUUGGGCCCCCCAAAAGGAAUUCUUUACCCCAAUUCAUCAAUAAACACUUAUAAGAGGACUGUUGUCUCAUUCCCUUAAGUUGUGUUAAUGGUUUGGUCACUUUAUAAGUUAUAGAUAUGUUGUCAUUUUAGGGAAUGAUUACAAAUAAUGAUGCUCAUGGACAGAGAAAAAACAAA